UAAUACGGGGGGAGCAAGCGUUGUUCGGAUUUACUGGGCGUAAAGGGCGCGUAGGCGGCCACCGCAAGUCGACUGUGAAAUCUCUGGGCUUAACCCAGAAAGGUCAGCCGAUACUGCGGGGCUAGAGUGCAGAAGGGGCAACUGGAAUUCUCGGUGUAGCGGUGAAAUGCGUAGAUAUCGAGAGGAACACCUGCGGCGAAGGCGGGUUGCUGGGCUGACACUGACGCUGAGGCGCGAAAGCUAGGGGAGCGAACGGG
rnacentral:rRNA from 1 species